GAACACUCAAUUGUGUCAGUUGAACACUCAAACUUACAAAACGAUCCUCUGAAUACCUCCAAAAUUUAUGUGACACGCCAGUGAUGGGUGUCCAUGAGACAGUGGCGAUGAGUUGGGGUGUUUAGUUAUCAGUUGAGACCAAGUUGAGGUGUCUAGAUGUGCACUCUCAAAGUCAAAGUAAUUACCUGAAGUUUGAGUGUCUAUUUAUGUAUUAUGCCUUAAAACUACGAUGCGUCUCAA
rnacentral:misc_RNA from 1 species